rnacentral:rRNA from 1 species
GACGAACGCUGGCGGCGUGCUUAACACAUGCAAGUCGAACGGAAAGGCCCUGCUUUUGUGGGGUGCUCGAGUGGCGAACGGGUGAGUAACACGUGAGUAACCUGCCCUUGACUUGGGGAUAACUUCAGGAAACUGGGGCUAAUACCGGAUAGGAGCUCCUGCGGCAUGGUGGGGGUUGGAAAGUUUCGGCGGGUGGGGAUGGACUCGCGGCUUAUCAGCUGGUUGGGGGGGUAGUGGCUAACCAAGGCUUUGACGGGUAGCCGGCCUGAGAGGGUGACCGGCAACAUUGGGACUGAGAUACGGCCCAGACUCCUACGGGAGGCAGCAGUGGGGAAUAUUGAACAAUGGGCGGAAGCCUGAUGCAGCAACGCCGCGUGCGGGAUGACGGCCUUCGGGUUGUAACCCGCUUUCGCCUGUGACGAAGCGUGAGUGACGGUAAUGGGUAAAGAAGCACCGGCUAACUACGUG